UACGUAGGGUGCGAGCGUUGUCCGGAAUCAUUGGGCGUAAAGGGCGCGUAGGUGGCCCAGUCAGCGUGCGGUGAAAGCUCGGGGCUCAACCCCGGGUCGGCCGUGCGAACUACUGGGCUGGAGCGCUGUAGAGGCAGGCGGAAUUCCGGGUGUAGCGGUGGAAUGCGUAGAGAUCCGGAAGAACACCGGUGGCGAAGGCGGCCUGCUGGGCAGUUGCUGACACUGAGGCGCGACAGCGUGGGGAGCAAACAGG
rnacentral:rRNA from 1 species